GAUGAACGCUAGCGGCAGGCCUAAUACAUGCAAGUCGAACGAGAUUAAGAGGCUUGCUUCUUAUGAAAGUGGCGCACGGGUGCGUAACGCGUAUGCAACCUACCUUAAUCAGGGGGAUAGCCCGAAGAAAUUCGGAUUAAGACCGCAUAAAAACACAGGAUAGCAUUAUCCACUGUUCAAAUAUUUAUAGGAUUAAGAUGGGCAUGCGUGUCAUUAGCUAGUUGGCGGGGUAACGGCCCACCAAGGCGACGAUGACUAGGGGAUCUGAGAGGAUGACCCCCCACACUGGUACUGAGACACGGACCAGACGCCUACGGGAGGCAGCAGUAAGGAAUAUUGGUCAAUGGAGGGAACUCUGAACCAGCCAUGCCGCGUGCAGGAAGACAGCCCUCUGGGGCGUAAACUGCUUUUAUGCGGGAAUAAACCUUUCUACGUGUAGGAAGCUGAAUGUACCGAAGGAAUAAGGAUCGGCUAACUCCGU
rnacentral:rRNA from 1 species